GAUGAACGCUGGCGGCGUGCCUAAUACAUGCAAGUCGAGCGAACAGAUAAGGAGCUUGCUCCUUUGACGUUAGCGGCGGACGGGUGAGUAACACGUGGGUAACCUACCUAUAAGACUGGGAUAACUUCGGGAAACCGGAGCUAAUACCGGAUAACAUUUGGAACCGCAUGGUUCUAAAGUGAAAGAUGGUUUUGCUAUCACUUAUAGAUGGACCCGCGCCGUAUUAGCUAGUUGGUAAGGUAACGGCUUACCAAGGCGACGAUACGUAGCCGACCUGAGAGGGUGAUCGGCCACACUGGCACUGAGACACGGUCCAGACUCCUACGGGAGGCAGCAGUAGGGAAUCUUCCGCAAUAGGCGAGAGCCUGACGGUGCAACGCCGCGUGAGUGAUGAAGGGUUUCGGCUCGUAAAGCUCUGUUAUUAGGGAAGAACAAAUGUGUAAGUAACUGUGCACGUCUUGACGGUACCUAAUCAGAAAGCCACGGCUAACUACGUG
rnacentral:rRNA from 1 species